rnacentral:rRNA from 1 species
GAUGAACGCUGGCGGCGUGCCUAAUACAUGCAAGUCGAGCGAACAGAUGAGGAGCUUGCUCCUCUGACGUUAGCGGCGGACGGGUGAGUAACACGUGGAUAACCUACCUAUAAGACUGGGAUAACUUCGGGAAACCGGAGCUAAUACCGGAUAAUAUAUUGAACCGCAUGGUUCAAUAGUGAAAGACGGUUUUGCUGUCACUUAUAGAUGGAUCCGCGCCGCAUUAGCUAGUUGGUAAGGUAACGGCUUACCAAGGCAACGAUGCGUAGCCGACCUGAGAGGGUGAUAGGCCACACUGGAACUGAGACACGGUCCAGACUCCUACGGGAGGCAGCAGUAGGGAAUCUUCCGCAAUGGGCGAAAGCCUGACGGAGCAACGCCGCGUGAGUGAUGAGGGUCUUCGGAUCGUAAAACUCUGUUAUUAGGGAAGAACAAAUGUGUAAGUAACUAUGCACGUCUUGACGGUACCUAAUCAGAAAGCCACGGCUAACUACGUG